ACUCCUGCGGGAGGCAGCAGUGAGGAAUAUUGGACAAUGGGUGGAAGCCUGAUCCAGCCAUCCCGCGUGCAGGAAGACGGCCCUAUGGGUUGUAAACUGCUUUUAUCUGGGGAUAAACCUACUUACGUGUAAGUAGCUGAAGGUACCAGAAGAAUAAGCACCGGCUAACUCCGUGCCAGCAGCCGCGGUAAUACGGAGGGUGCAAGCGUUAUCCGGAUUUAUUGGGUUUAAAGGGUCCGUAGGCGGACUGAUAAGUCAGUGGUGAAAUCCGACAGCUUAACUGUCGAACUGCCAUUGAUACUGUUAGUCUUGAGUAAGGUUGAAGUGGCUGGAAUAAGUAGUGUAGCGGUGAAAUGCAUAGAUAUUACUUAGAACACCAAUUGCGAAGGCAGGUCACUAAGUCUUAACUGACGCUGAUGGACGAAAGCGUGGGGAGCGAACAGGAUUAGAAACCCUAGUAGUCC
rnacentral:rRNA from 1 species